AUUGAACGCUGGCGGAAUGCUUUACACAUGCAAGUCGAACGGCAGCACGGACUUCGGUCUGGUGGCGAGUGGCGAACGGGUGAGUAAUGUAUCGGAACGUGCCCAAUCGUGGGGGAUAACGUAGCGAAAGCUACGCUAAUACCGCAUACGCUCUAAGGAUGAAAGCGGGGGAUCGCAAGACCUCGCGCGAUUGGAGCGGCCGAUGGCAGGUUAGGUAGUUGGUAGGGUAAAGGCCUACCAAGCCGACGAUCUGUAGCUGGUCUAAGAGGAUGAUCAGCCACACUGGAACUGGGACACGGCCCAGACUCCUACGGGAGGCAGCAGUGGGGAAUGUUGGACAAUGGACGCAAGUCUGAUCCAGCCAUUCCGCGUGCAGGAUGAAGGCCCUCGGGUUGUAAACUGCUUUUGUACAGAACGAAAAGGCUCUGGUUAAUACCUAGGGCUCAUGACGGUACUGUAAGAAUAAGCACCGGCUAACUACGUGCCAGCCGCCGCAGUAA
rnacentral:rRNA from 1 species